UUUAUUUAUUUAUUUUGUAAUAGGCAAAGGAAAUCAAAAGGAAAUUAUUGCCACAGGAAACAGAAAUAAAAAAUUAGAAGUGUUAACAGAAACCACUGUAUAUGAGACUGUGUUUGAUGGAGGAGCCAUUGAUCCAGAUGGCAUGAUAAUUUCCAACCAGGGGAGAGACCAAAGAUUGUCUGGGAAAAUGCUCUUCUCUCUCCAACAAGGCUCUCUCUGGAUCAAUUAUGAUUUGAUGGAUAUACAUGUGUGAGUCUCCACCUGCCACCACCUGGGCUUUUAAGAAAAAAAAAAAAAAAAAACAGCAUUUAUUAACUUUGUUUUCAAAAUUGGAUUGAAUCAAUUUGUAUUCGAUCUGCCUCUGCCCAAACCAAGAAAAAUCGGUAAGUUAGUGUUUGUUUUCCCUUGUUUAGUUGUUUUGGGUCUCAGUUUC
rnacentral:lncRNA from 1 species